AUACUUAUCUGGCAGGGAGCUACUAUGACUACAACCGUCUUUCUCCAGGUUGAGACUCAUCUGGUGCACUCUGGUUGUGCUGACCCUGUGAUUUCCUCAAAAUCCGCACUCAACUGCAUAAUAUGUAACAGUGGGGAACUGCACUGAUGUCCCCCCCCC
rnacentral:snRNA from 11 species